UACGGGGGGAGCAAGCGUUGUUCGGAUUUACUGGGCGUAAAGGGCGCGUAGGCGGUCAGCACAAGUCAGUUGUGAAAUCUCCGGGCUUAACUCGGAAAGGUCAACUGAUACUGUGCGACUAGAGUGCAGAAGGGGCAACUGGAAUUCUCGGUGUAGCGGUGAAAUGCGUAGAUAUCGAGAGGAACACCUGCGGCGAAGGCGGGUUGCUGGGCUGACACUGA
rnacentral:rRNA from 1 species